rnacentral:rRNA from 1 species
CUGCGGGGAGCCAGCGGUUAGGUAUUCUUCCACAAGGGGGCCCAGGCUGGAGGGAACCACCCCCCGUGUGUGAAGGAAGGGUUUCGGCUCAUAAAACCCUUUUAUAAGAGAAGAACGGCACUGAGAGUAACUGUUCAGUGGUGGACGGUAUUCUACCAGAAAGGACCGGCUAAUUUCGUGGCAGCAGCCGCGGUAAUACGUAUGUUCCAAGCGUUAUCCGGAUUUAUUGGGCGUAAAGCGAGCGCAGACGGUUAUUUAAGUCUGAAGUGAAAGCCCUCAGCUCAACUGAGGAAUGGCUUUGGAAACUGGAUGACUUGAGUGCAGUAGAGGAAAGUGGAACUCCAUGUGUAGCGGUGAAAUGCGUAGAUAUAUGGAAGAACACCAGUGGCGAAGGCGGCUUUCUGGACUGUAACUGACGUUGAGGCUCGAAAGUGUGGGUAGCAAACAGGAUUAGAUACCCUGGUAGUCCACACCGUAAACGAUGAGUGCUAGAUGUUCGAGGGUUUCCGCCCUUGAGUGUCGCAGCUAACGCAUUAAGCACUCCGCCUGGGGAGUACGACCGCAAGGUUGAAACUCAAAGGAAUUGACGGGGACCCGCACAAGCGGUGGAGCAUGUGGUUUAAUUCGAAGCAACGCGAAGAACCUUACCAGGUCUUGACAUCCCUUGCUAAUCCUAGAAAUAGGACGUUCCCUUCGGGGACAAGGUGACAGGUGGUGCAUGGUUGUCGUCAGCUCGUGUCGUGAGAUGUUGGGUUAAGUCCCGCAACGAGCGCAACCCUUAUUAUUAGUUGCCAGCAUUCAGUUGGGCACUCUAGUGAGACUGCCGGUGACAAACCGGAGGAAGGUGGGGAUGACGUCAAAUCAUCAUGCCCCUUAUGACCUGGGCUACACACGUGCUACAAUGGCAUAUACAACGAGUCGCCAACCCGCGAGGGUGCGCUAAUCUCUUAAAGUAUGUCUCAGUUCGGAUUGUAGGCUGCAACUCGCCUACAUGAAGUCGGAAUCGCUAGUAAUCGCGGAUCAGCACGCCGCGGUGAAUACGUUCCCGGGUCUUGUACACACCGCCCGUCACACCAUGAGAGUUUGUAACACCCAAAGCCGGUGGGGUAACCUUUUAGGAGCCAGCCGUCUAAGGUGGACAGAAAUGCUA